UACGUAGGGUGCGAGCGUUGCCCGGAUUUAUUGGGCGUAAAGGGCGCGCAGGCGGCCCGACGCGUCCCGUGUGAAAGCUCCCGGCUCACCUGGGAGAGGUCGCGGGAAACGGUCGGGCUUGAGCAAGGUAGGGGGCCAUGGAAUUCCCGGUGUAGUGGUGGAAUGCGUAGAGAUCGGGAGGAACACCAGUGGCGAAGGCGGUGGCCUGGACCUGUGCUGACGCUGAGGCGCGAAAGCGUGGGGAGCGAUCCGG
rnacentral:rRNA from 1 species